UAGUUUAGAGUUUUGGACCUGGCUCAGAUUGAACGCUGGCGGCAGGCCUAACACAUGCAAGUCGAGCGGAUGAAAGGAGCUUGCUCCUGGAUUCAGCGGCGGACGGGUGAGUAAUGCCUAGGAAUCUGCCUGGUAGUGGGGGACAACGUUUCGAAAGGAACGCUAAUACCGCAUACGUCCUACGGGAGAAAGCAGGGGACCUUCGGGCCUUGCGCUAUCAGAUGAGCCUAGGUCGGAUUAGCUAGUUGGUGAGGUAAUGGCUCACCAAGGCGACGAUCCGUAACUGGUCUGAGAGGAUGAUCAGUCACACUGGAACUGAGACACGGUCCAGACUCCUACGGGAGGCAGCAGUGGGGAAUAUUGGACAAUGGGCGAAAGCCUGAUCCAGCCAUGCCGCGUGUGUGAAGAAGGUCUUCGGAUUGUAAAGCACUUUAAGUUGGGAGGAAGGGCAGUAAAUUAAUACUUUGCUGUUUUGACGUUACCGACAGAAUAAGCACCGGCUAAC
rnacentral:rRNA from 1 species